rnacentral:rRNA from 1 species
GACUUUCAUCCAACACCCUUGUGAACCUUUGGCCUCUUGCUGGCUUCGGCUGGCUGAGGAUUUACACAAAUUCGCAUGUAUUGAGGACCCCAUUAUGUGCGCAAGCACUACUAUAUACAACUUUUCAACAACGGAUCUCUUGGCUCUCGCAUCGAUGAAGAACGCAGCGAAAUGCGAUAAGUAAUGUGAAUUGCAGAAUUCAGUGAAUCAUCGAAUCUUUGAACGCACCUUGCACCCUUUGGCAUUCCGAAGGGUAUGCUCGUUUGAGUGUCAUUGUACUCUCACACUCCCAAUCCCUUUGGAUUGGGAGCGGUGGACUUGGGUGUUGCCGCUUGACUGAGGCUCACCUGAAAUAUGUUAGUGCAUCUCUUGAUUGGACAUAGUACGGCGUGAUAAGUGUCUUCGCCGGCUCCUCGCAAAGAGGGUGGCCGAUCGGGAGCUCUGUUGCUUCAAACAGUCUUCGGACAAUCUUCUGA